rnacentral:rRNA from 1 species
UACGUAGGGGGCAAGCGUUAUCCGGAUUUACUGGGUGUAAAGGGAGCGUAGGCGGUUUGGCAAGUCAGAAGUGAAAGCCCGGGGCUCAACUCCGGGACUGCUUUUGAAACUGUUAGACUAGAUUGCAGGAGAGGUAAGUGGAAUUCCUAGUGUAGCGGUGAAAUGCGUAGAUAUUAGGAGGAACACCAGUGGCGAAGGCGGCUUACUGGACUGUGAAUGACGCUGAGGCUCGAAAGCGUGGGGAGCAAACAGG